rnacentral:rRNA from 1 species
CCUACGGUGGCAGCAGUGGGGAAUAUUGGACAAUGGGCGAAAGCCUGAUCCAGCCAUGCCGCGUGUGUGAAGAAGGCCUUCGGGUUGUAAAGCACUUUCAGUGGGGAAGAAAGCCUUGGGGCUAAUACCCUCGAGGAAGGACAUCACCCACAGAAGAAGCACCGGCUAACUCCGUGCCAGCAGCCGCGGUAAUACGGAGGGUGCGAGCGUUAAUCGGAAUUACUGGGCGUAAAGCGCGCGUAGGCGGUCUGAUAAGCCGGUUGUGAAAGCCCCGGGCUCAACCUGGGAACGGCAUCCGGAACUGUCAGGCUAGAGUGCAGGAGAGGAAGGUAGAAUUCCCGGUGUAGCGGUGAAAUGCGUAGAGAUCGGGAGGAAUACCAGUGGCGAAGGCGGCCUUCUGGACUGACACUGACGCUGAGGUGCGAAAGCGUGGGAAGCAAACAGGAUUAGAUACCCCGGUAGUC